rnacentral:rRNA from 1 species
CCGCCCUACGGGAGGCAGCAGUGGGGAAUAUUGCACAAUGGGGGAAACCCUGAUGCAGCGACGCCGCGUGAGUGAAGAAGUAUUUCGGUAUGUAAAGCUCUAUCAGCAGGGAAGAAGAAGGACGGUACCUGAGUAAGAAGCCCCGGCUAACUACGUGCCAGCAGCCGCGGUAAUACGUAGGGGGCAAGCGUUAUCCGGAUUUACUGGGUGUAAAGGGGGCGCAGACGGCGAUGCAAGCCAGGAGUGAAAGCCCGGGGCCCAACCCCGGGACUGCUCUUGGAACUGCGUGGCUAGAGUGCAGGAGG